UCUUUCAUUUGAACAUUCGCCUCGCAUUUUCGCAACAAUAGAAACCUAAUUCGUGCUCAAUGAAAUUCCGAUUUCACACGAUGGAAGAGCUGAACGGGCGAAACCAUUCAUUCUUUUCGUAUUUGAAACCAGAAUAGCGCAGUAUAUUUAAAUCAAUUUAGGACACAGACUCUUUCAGUCAACGGCGAAGACAGACCAGACAUGAAGGUGGCACCAGGCAAUGUAAUGAUUUCAAUAGUUGAGUAUUAAAUUGGCCAAAUAUUCGUUAAAAUAUUUUUCGUUUACUCAUCUGGUUACAUAAUACAUGCAUUAACAUAUUGUUUUCUGAAUAAAUAAAUUGUUAAAAUAGUUUACGCUUUGUAAGGCUGAUUCCAAAACUGUUUUCGUAGCUUAAAAAAUUUAAGUGUUUCUAAUGAUGUACGCUGCCAUUUUGUCAUUGUAAACGAAUGUAUUUGAAUUAAAAUUGUAUGAUUCAAGUCAAUCUUUGUUCAACUAAGGAAUACUGAAUAAAAACAUCUUAAUAACAA